GGGAAACGUGCUUAACCUAUUUUCAAUUUAUUUGUCAGAUUAGCAUAGCAUUGUACUACGACGCAGUUUACGAAUAUUCCGAACCGAGAAUAUUACGAACAGAAACCUCAACGGAGUAAAGUGAAUAAUACCGUAUACCAUAGAGAAGACAGUAAACGAAGUAAAUAUAUGCAGAGAAGUCGCGGACGGCUUGCGUAUAUAUUUCGAUUUCGCAUAUUACCUCAUCUCCUGUUAUAUAGGACACUCGACGAGCUCCGGGUUUUCCCUAUCGAUGACGACGAUGAAUGUUUGCCAAGGAUAUGCGCCAGAAGAUGAACAAGAUCUCUUCAACAGAAAAUUGAAUCGCCCAGCAUGUCGAGUAUUUUCCGCAAGAAGUAAACUCCCCUUUGUGUCUUAUAGCAAGAAAUUCUGUGUGAGAAAAUCGAGUAUCACGUCGGCAAGAGAUUCGCGAGUGCAAGCACAAAAAAUUGUUGUUAGGCAUAAAUGUAUAAUGUUGUUUCAACGAAUGUUAACUUAUUUUUUUAUCGCGCUAGCUCUAUGAGUGACGUGUAAAUUAUUUUGUUUAAAUAUUAACACGGUCUGAGGAGAUGAGAAAAGUUUAGAGAUGAGAAAAGACGAAUGUUUUUUCACGUUUUGUAAAAUUCGGAUGUCCAUUGUGUCUGCACUCUCGCAGCGUUUGGAAUUUUCUCACUUUCUCAUGAUCCUCUUUAGGUAAAGGAAAAGAAAAAGAGUAAAUUCAAAACGCCACGAUUAACAGUAAUUAAUGUUUAAUUUCGAAGUCUGUCACUUUACAUAGUAAUAAACAAACGUCAUAGAUCAUA